rnacentral:rRNA from 1 species
AGAAUCAACGCUGGCGGCGUGCCUAACACAUGCAAGUCGCACGAGAAAGGGGAGCAAUCCCUGAGUACAGUGGCGCACGGGUGAGUAACACGUGAAUGAUCUACCUCCGAGUGGGGAAUAACUGAGAGAAAUCUUGGCUAAUACCGCAUAAUACCCACGGGUCAAAGCAGCAAUGCGCUUGGAGAGGAGUUCGCGGCCGAUUAGCUAGUUGGCGGGGUAAUGGCCCACCAAGGCGAUGAUCGGUAUCCGGCCUGAGAGGGCGCACGGACACACUGGAACUGAAACACGGUCCAGACUCCUACGGGAGGCAGCAGUGGGGAAUUUUGCGCAAUGGGGGAAACCCUGACGCAGCAACGCCGCGUGGAGGAUGAAGCCCCUUGGGGUGUAAACUCCUUUCGAUCGGGAAGAUAAUGACGGUACCGAUAUAAGAAGCCCCGGCUAACUUCGCGCCAGCAGCCGC